UCAAAACUUUCAACAACGGAUCUCUUGGUUCUGGCAUCGAUGAAGAACGCAGCGAAAUGCGAUAAGUAAUGUGAAUUGCAGAAUUCAGUGAACCAUCGAAUCUUUGAACGCACAUUGCGCCCGCCAGUAUUCUGGCGGGCAUGCCUGUCCGAGCGUCA
rnacentral:rRNA from 1 species